rnacentral:rRNA from 1 species
GGCCCUGCGAUAUAUAAUGCAGGGUCGAACCUGCCCAGUGACGUCAAGUUAAACGGCCGCUGUAAUGGGUGCAAAGGUAGCAAAAUCUAUUGCCCUUUAAUUGGGGGCGUGUGAAUGGUUUGACGUGGGUUAAACUGUCUCGUCAGGGUUUAGUGAAAUUUACUUUUAGGUGCAAAGGCCUGAAUAGUGGGGUUGGACGAGAAGACCCUGUAGAGCUUUACCUUUAGGUUUGGUUGGGGCAACCAAAAAGCAUGAAAAACCUUUUUAUUAUUUAAGAUAUAUAUGAGCCGCAUAGAGCGAUAUUAGAAAAAGCUACCGCAGGGAUAACAGCGUAAUCUUUCCUGAGAGUUCAUAUUGACGGGAGGGUUUGCGACCUCGAUGUUGAAUUAAGGCAUCCUUGAGGCGCAGAAGCCUCAAAGGGUGGGUCUGUUCGACCUUUAAAGCCUUACA